rnacentral:lncRNA from 1 species
AACACAACCCUGCUGUCAUGAUGGCCCCACUGCUACUGAGAGCGAGAAACUCCACAGCUGGCUUCCACGUCUUCUCCCUGGCCCACACUUCUUGCUUCUUGCAGGUCAUGGAGUGGUGGGGUGCCCAUCCUGAUGUGGCCUGCCGUACAACAACAGGCUCCUCCUCAGCCUCGUGUGUGGACUUUCUGGUUCCAACCAGGCUCAGCCACAGAAAUGGAAAUCUCAUGCCAGGAGAGUCCCCCACGCCAGGAGAGUCCCCCUCGUCACUCUUAGGGAGGAAGUGGGGGGUGGGGGAGGAGGCUGGACCAUGUGCCUGCAAGUGGUUAUAUUGAGACAGGGCCUUCCGUAGCUCAGACCAGCCUAAAACCCACAAUCCUCCUGCCUCUGCUUCUGAGUACAGGGACUACACACAGGUGUAUGUCAUCAUGCCUGGCGUCUAUAAGAUGCCCUAGAGGAAAGCCCUCUCCUGUGCCUGGACCUCUACAGUAUUCACAGGGCUUUGCCUCCUCUUAAGUCGAGGGGCAGGGGAAGCUGGAGGCAGGAGAACUGGGCCUAGCCAGGCAAGGAAUCUCUACUUAUUAAUCAGACCUGGGGGUCCCUCUCCCCCUCCCCUCUCCUCCUCCCCUCUCCCCACCCUCCUCACCCUCUCUCUUUCCCUAACUAGGACAGUAUGGCCCCCAGGUCUCCUCUUCUCCAGGAAGGGGAGCAGUUCCAAAUCACCCUCCUCUGCCCCUUUUGUCUGACUCCCAGGGAAGUAAGGAGGUGUGAGCUCUAAGAGGAAGGCUUGAAGCUGUUCCCUCAUGGCUGGGACUGCUUUCCCCACAGGUUCCCAGGGCUCAGGUGGUAAGGUCCCCACCUGCCUCCCAGCCCUGCCCAAUAGCUCUAAGGACACAGCUAUCCCCAAUUCCACAUCCGAGUCAGACAACUGGGCAAAGAGCAUCUGUCUGUGCACCACUUUGUCCCCAGGAUACAGCAGAUGCUCAACAGGGUACCAGAGACACUGUCUGUCUGGAGGCUCUGGCGGAGGUGGAGACUGUCAUGCCACUAGCAAGCACGCCAACGACUUUACAGGGUGGUUUGUGAAUCAGAGCUUGAUUCGCGAUUUGGAAAGGCGUCUUGUUACCUGUACAGCUUUAAUAUUUGAAAGCAGUGUUAGAGGUAGUGAGAAUAUGAUUAUGUCUUGCAACAUUCCUGUGCAUGUCCAAUCCAGAGUAUGCAGAGGCCAGCUGUGUAGAAGGAGCUGUGCAGUGAAGCUGCUGCGGAAAGACAACAUUUGCUGGAGGGGAAACAUCUGCAGGGAUAAUACUUGGCCCACAGCACAUCUGUCCAGCCCAUUUUCCAAAUUGGAAAGUUUCUCAAAAGAGGCAGAGGCUGACUUUGAAGCCUGUGGGUAGACAUGGACGAUCCCGCCUCCAUCUCCCAGGUGCUGGAAUCCCAGGCUCACACCACCAUCCCAGGCUCUGCAAUCUAUCUUGGCGUAUCUUGAUUACAGAGAACUCUACCCUUUAAGCAGCAGGCUCAGACAAUCGUGAGUUUGCUCUCUAGUGACUUAAGCAUGUUAUAUCGCACGCAGACAGACCCAGAUCCCAAAGAGAGGCAACCCAUACAGCAAAGCUUGCCCCUCAGUAGAAUGAUGCAUCUUUCCUAACUCACAAGUAGCCCUACACAGGUGUCCCAGCCAGAGCUAAACAGCUUGCUUGGUGUAGUGGCACAGGCUCUGAAUCCCAGCACUCAGAGGCAGGCUGAUCUCUAUGAGUUCAAGGCCAGCUUGGUCUUCAUGGUGAGUUCCAGGCCAGCCAGGGCUCAGCAACUGUACAGUGACAUUAAGUGCCAGCCUGCAUAGACCCUGUGACAGGAGGAGUCUGUUGAGUGUUUCCUACUGUUCUCUGCUGUCUUGCCUGAUGCUGAUCUAAUAAACUCUCUCCUGC